AAAUGUAUGUUUAAGCUGCUAACUUAAUUUUUACAAUUAGUUUUGUAUACGUUUU
rnacentral:tRNA from 1 species